CCUACGGGGGGCUGCAGUGGGGAAUAUUGCACAAUGGGCGCAAGCCUGAUGCAGCCAUGCCGCGUGUGUGAAGAAGGCCUUCGGGUUGUAAAGCACUUUCAGCGGGGAGGAAGGCGUUAAGGUUAAUAACCUUGUCGAUUGACGUUACCCGCAGAAGAAGCACCGGCUAACUCCGUGCCAGCAGCCGCGGUAAUACGGAGGGUGCAAGCGUUAAUCGGAAUUACUGGGCGUAAAGCGCACGCAGGCGGUCUGUCAAGUCGGAUGUGAAAUCCCCGGGCUCAACCUGGGAACUGCAUUCGAAACUGGCAGGCUAGAGUCUUGUAGAGGGGGGUAGAAUUCCAGGUGUAGCGGUGAAAUGCGUAGAGAUCUGGAGGAAUACCGGUGGCGAAGGCGGCCCCCUGGACAAAGACUGACGCUCAGGUGCGAAAGCGUAGGGAGCAAACAGGAUUAGAUACCCUGGUAGUC
rnacentral:rRNA from 1 species